AUUGAACGCUGGCGGCAUGCUUUACACAUGCAAGUCGAACGGCAGCACGGGCUUCGGCCUGGUGGCGAGUGGCGAACGGGUGAGUAAUGCAUCGGAACGUACCGUGUAAUGGGGGAUAACGUAGCGAAAGUUACGCUAAUACCGCAUAUUCUGUGAGCAGGAAAGAGGGGGAUCGCAAGACCUCUUGCUUUAGGAGCGGCCGAUGUCGGAUUAGCUAGUUGGUGAGGUAAAGGCUCACCAAGGCGACGAUCCGUAGCGGGUCUGAGAGGAUGAUCCGCCACACUGGGACUGAGACACGGCCCAGACUCCUACGGGAGGCAGCAGUGGGGAAUUUUGGACAAUGGGCGCAAGCCUGAUCCAGCCAUGCCGCGUGAGUGAAGAAGGCCUCGGUUGU
rnacentral:rRNA from 1 species